GGCUUCGUAGCUCAGUUGGUUAGAGCACGCGGUUCAUACCCGCGGUGUCGUAGGUUCAAGUCCCACCGAAGCCACCA
rnacentral:tRNA from 1 species